UGGGGUAGAAGUAGAAGGGGUCGGCAUCCCCGGAAGAUCUUCAGCAGCGGCCACAGCAGUCGACGAAGUCCCGACUGGAAGAGGAUCAGCGGCGACGUCAGAUGGUCCGACUUCAUCAUCGGACGCCUCAUUCAGGAAGCUGAGAUCCAAUUCGAAAAAUCUUCCAGCCACCUUCUCUUGGCAGAGCUCGAAUCCCUUGAUGAAGGCA
rnacentral:lncRNA from 1 species